AAGAUGCAAAUAUGAUAUUUAUGAAAAUUUUACGUAUAAAAUGUUAAAAAAAUAUAAAAGAAGAACUUCUUCAACGUUUUUAUUUUAAAUUAUGUUGAUUUUUAGCAAUUAUUACGAAUUAAAAUUACGUUAAACGAAACGCAUUUCAAAACACCAAUCAGCGUUCAGUGACGUCACUCGUGCUGUGUCAACUUUUAGAAGUUAACUUUGCGAUUAAUAGGCAGUAGUGCUAUAUUUACGUAUUAUUUACGUUUUUAAUAAAAAUGGAUGUUAGAUUUAAUAAAACAGACUCCAAAAAUUUACCAAAAAAAAAUUUUUUGUCGUGAGUGCAGAGUUUUCAAGUGUAGAAAUGAAAGGCACUAAAUUAGUACGGUAUGCAUGAAUGUUUUUAAACGUUGUUUGCAUUUUAUUCAGCAAUUUCUAAACAUAGCAGUUAUAAUUUAGCUCAACGAGAGAAAGAGAAUCUUACGGCGAUAACGUAAUCGGUUAUGUGCAAAUUAAAAGAGAUGGAGAUGGAUUAAUUAUGUACAGUGAAAAGUCGAGUUACUCCAGAGCACAAAGUACGAAAAGAAGGUUAUCGUGUUACAGCUGUAAUAAAUGAAGCACAAAGCUUAGUUCUGUCCUGCCAAUGCGAAGAUUGUGCAGCUUCUGCAGGUCAAGUAUUACGACAUUAAUGAAUAAUUAAACUGUUCAAAAAGAAGAUUAUUUUAAAUGCUAUGAGGUAUUUAUUAUCAUGACUAAAACUUUAUCAUAUACAGGUGGGUGCAAGCAUGCUGCUGCACUAUUGCUAUGGUGCACAGAAAGUCUGAGCAGCCUCCAAUUACGUCCGUCACAUGCUAUUGGAAGAAGUCGAAAUUAUCUACAUGUGCUUCUGGAAAAUCUGUCAUAAAAGCCAAAGAAAUGGGUCAAGUUUCAGUCAAUCACAGUUUCUCUCAAGUAAGCAGCUUUUUUAUUUAAAGAGAUUGAAAAGAAGUUAAAUGUGUGUUACAAUAAUAACUGCAUAUUUUUAGGUGGAUAUUUUAUAAGAAUUUGUAGAUGCUGUCAAUAAAAAAGAUUGUCGGGGAAGUAUUCUUCGCUACUUUCAAGGAGACAAGCAUUCAUAAGGUGUGUUCAAGCUUGAUUGGAAAGUUGGACUCUCCAGAAUCAUUUCUUGAAGCAUUAUCAAAGCAAAUGACCACUGAUAAUAUAAAUAUGGUAUUUUCCACCACCAAACAUCAAAGUGAUUCACCAAUGUGGUUUGAGUUGAGGUACGGCAGAAUUACUGGCUCAACUCUUUAUGAAGCCGCUCACUGUAGAACUAUAAAUGGUUCCCUUCUGAACGCAAUUAUGGGAGAACAUUCAAAAUUUACUUCCAUUGCGAUGAGUAGAGGGAAAAUAUUAGAAAAAAAGUUCUCAAAGUAGUAAGCAAGAAAGAAAAGAUUGAAAUUGAAGAAGCUGGACUACUUCUUAAUACCGAGUAUCCUAUUUUUGGAGCAACACCUGACGGGCUUACUGAAAAUUAUACAAUAGAAGUCAAAUAUCCUUCAACCGAAGCUGCCAUACUUUCCUAUGUGAAAUACAAUAAAAUAACACCAAAAUGUUGUGUGCCAUAUGAUAACAGCAUUGUAUCUGUUAUGAAUAUUGCAAAGAAAUUCUGGAUAGAUGCUGUAUUUCCGAAAUUAAAAGAUAUAUAUAAUAUAUAAGCACAUUUUUUUGUUUUUCAAAUAUUUCAUAAAUUUAUUAAAUAAAACUAUGCUUCGAAAAUAUUGUUUUUUAUUCAAUUUUAAUUAAAGGUGAUUAACAAGUGCACAACAAAUGAUUAUACUAUAGUCUAUUUGGGGUAUGAGAAAAUGAUCUACACAGACAUUUAGAAACUUUGUUAAAGUAGAUGGACACAUAGGCACAAAACAUGAG